rnacentral:rRNA from 1 species
UACGGAGGGUGCAAGCGUUAUCCGGAUUUACUGGGUUUAAAGGGUGUGUAGGCGGGCUAUUAAGUCAGUGGUGAAAUCCUCCGAGCUUAACUUGGAAACUGCCAUUGAUACUAUUAGUCUUGAAUUUUGUUGAGGUAGGCGGAAUAAGUCAUGUAGCGGUGAAAUGCUUAGAUAUGACUUAGAACACCAAUUGCGAAGGCAGCUU